UCGAGUGCCAGGUUACAAAUCUGGCUGUCGAGAUGCCUAAAAAGCAUUUCAUAGCAAGGGCCGGGCAAGACCGGUGCCAGCCGCCGCGGUAACACCGGCGGCUCGAGUGGUAACCGUUAUUAUUGGGUCUAAAGGGUCUGUAGCCGGCCGGAUAAGUCUCUUGAGAAAUCUGGCAGCUUAACUGUCAGGCUUUCAGGAGAUACUGUCUGGCUCGAGGCCGGGAGAGGUGAGAGGUACUUCAGGGGUAGGGGUGAAAUCUUGUAAUCCUUGAAGGACCACCAGUGGCGAAGGCGUCUCACCAGAACGGACCUGACGGCAAGGGACGAAAGCUAGGGGCACGAACCGGAUUAGAUACCCGGGUAGUCCUAGCCGUAAACGAUACUCGCUAGGUGUCGGCCACGGUGCGACCGUUGUCGGUGCCGUAGGGAAGCCGUGAAGCGAGC
rnacentral:rRNA from 1 species